UACCAGUAGGUGGAGCUGCCACGUUAGGUGCUGCAUUUUUUUCAUUUCUUCUCCCCCUCCACUCCCCCACCCUUCACCCCCCUUCUCCUAAUAAGCUGUUUUCUGAGAGAUGUUGGGUACCAUAGAGUGAGGCUGAGAACAGGAAGCGGAGGCAGAAUCAGAGAGGAUUCUGGAAAGGUCUCUGUGUUUUCUUUUCCACUGAGAAUACAGAAAUUAUAAUUAAUUAGUAAAGCUUUGUGGCUGGAAAUCUGGACAAUUUCAGRAGGAAACAUUAUAUUAUCAUAUUAUUUUUGGAUGCUGGGCUUUGCAGUGAUUUGCUGUUCUCUUUCAAUCAGGAAUAAGAAAGAAAAUAAGGACAAAGUAAAAAAAAAAAAGAAAAGAGUCAGAAAUAAAUCUAGUUUCAAUGAGACUAAAUAUCACCAGAAAAUCUCAUCGUAAUCUCAAUGGCUGAAGACUAAAGUUUGCAAGAUGUUGGAAAAAUGUGGCUAUGUGAAUAUGUAAACUUAUCUUUGUCUACUGCAAUUAAUUUUGAGAAGUUCUGGACACAGGAACAAAGAAUGAGAAAGCCGUGAAGAAACUUCAGUCUUAAAGAAGCUUCAGCUCCCAAGGAGAAACUUUUCUUAACAGUUCCAUUUUCUGCUAGAAAUGCAGGCUUUUUCUUUUCACUAUAGCAAAUAAUCUAGUGGCUAAAUUCUGAGAUUUUCCAUUUCUCAGAAACAUAAAGGUAAGCCUAUCUUUUCUUCUCAGCCAGACAAAAUGUUUCUCUUCA
rnacentral:lncRNA from 1 species